rnacentral:misc_RNA from 1 species
CCUUAUCAUUUAGAGGAAGGAGAAGUCGUAACAAGGUUUCCGUAGGUGAACCUGCGGAAGGAUCAUUGUCGAAAACGAACGGAAGAACGACCCGCGAACCGUCCCCACCUACCGAACGGAGGUCGCGAGCCGAAACGCUCGCGUCCCUCGCGUCGCGUCGGCGCGGGCCUUCCCCGGAGGCCGGCGUCGUCCCGACAAACGAACAUCGUCAGCACGAAUCGUGCCAAGGACCCGUAAAAGGCGAGAAUCGCCGUCCCCGGCCCCCGGUCGUUCUCGGCGGGGGGCGCGGGACGCGCGCGAUCUCUGCUCUAAGUCUUUAAUGACUCUCGGCAACGGAUAUCUCGGCUCUUGCAUCGAUGAAGAACGUAGCGAAAUGCGAUACUUGGUGUGAAUUGCAGAAUCCCGCGAACCAUCAAUUCUUUGAACGCAAGUUGCGCCCGAAGCCAUUUGGCCGAGGGCACGCCUGCCUGGGCGUCGUGAAUCCCCUUGCCCCCCGGAACCCGCGCGAGCAUCGUCGCGGGUUUUCCCGGGCGCAGAAUAUGGUCUCCCGUCGCAUCGGCGUGCGCGGCACGCCGUGGUACGGUUGGCCGAAAAUCGAGCAUUGCGACGUCGGGCUGCACGGCGCUAGGUGGAUCGAACGCGAUUGGCUGCGCCGUGGUCCCGUCGUGCCGCGGGCUCAGGACUAGGACGGUCCCCAGUGCGAUCCCAGGUCAGGCGGGGCUACCCGCUGAGUUUAAGCAUAUCA